AUCGCAUCAUCCGUUAUCAGGAAGUGCUAGUCAUCAAGAUCUUAGAAAAGACUCAUCGCAUCAUCCAUUAUCAGGAAGUGCUAGUCAUCAAGAUCUUAGAAAAGAAUCAUCUCAUCAUUCAUUGUCAG